rnacentral:lncRNA from 1 species
CCCUGCCAGUGUCUCCGCCGGUUGAAAGCGCGUGUCUGCGUCGGGUUCUGUUGGAGUGCGUUCGGUGCGCCGUGGGUCCGCGCUGCUUCCACCCAACUUCCUGUUAGGAAUCUCACCAGUGACAUGCGUUUGUGAAAAGCUGUGAAUAUUCAGUGCCACAGGGUUAAACCUCGGUACAGAAGCGAGACCCUGCUGGGCAGAGAAAGGGUGACCUGGAAGGUGUGUGAGGGCCCCACCCAUGGGCCCCUGUGAUGGUCAUGGCCUCAAGAAUCACAGUCCAGGUUACAUUAGUUAUAAUAUACACUCUGGAGGUGACUUGACUUGUCAUUGUGAACAACUAUUGCUCUUGGACGACCCA